UACAGAGGGGGCAAGCGUUGUUCGGAAUUACUGGGCGUAAAGCGCGUGUAGGCGGACGAUCAAGUCAGAUGUGAAAUCCCUGGGCUCAACCCAGGAACUGCAUUUGAAACUGGUCGCCUUGAGUGUUGGAGAGGGUAGUGGAAUUCCCGGUGUAGUGGUGAAAUGCGUAGAUAUCGGGAGGAACACCAGUGGCGAAGGCGACUACCUGGCCUGUUCUUGACGCUGAGGCGCGAAAGCUAGGGGAGCAAACGGG
rnacentral:rRNA from 1 species